rnacentral:rRNA from 1 species
GACGUAGGGGGCCAGCGUUGUUCGGAAUUACUGGGUGUAAAGGGUUCGUAGGCGGUGUGGCAAGUCGGGAGUGAAAUCUCUGGGCUCAACUCAGAGACUGCUUCCGAAACUGCUGUGCUGGAGUGUGGGAGAGGCGCGUGGAAUUGCAGGUGUAGCGGUGAAAUGCGUAGAUAUCUGCAGGAACACCCGUGGCGAAAGCGGCGCGCUGGACCACUACUGACGCUGAUGCACGAAAGCUAGGGGAGCAAACAGG